UUUGGAAAAGAUUUGAAUUCAAAAUAUUAACAAAACCUAUAAAAUGAAUGACACUUAUAGUUUUUGUUAAUAUUUUACUCCUCUAUUCCUUAUAAGGAAAAGCUUAAUUGCAUGGUUACAGUUUGUAUAUAGCAAAAAUAUUGUCCAUUGUUUGGCAACUAACCGAAGAGAGAUCUCGUCUUGCCCUCAACAAAAUCUUGUGACGUAUGUUGGUCUGGAGCGAGUGGAAUCCACAUAAAGGUGGUGCAGGCAUAAUUUUGAAAGCUUUGAAUGACCUUCAGACUGCAUACGUCUCUUCUGGGUCAAGUUAUGAUCAGACGACCUCUCUUCGCCAAAUUAAAAUCCCCUACCAAUAUAAUUUAAGAAGCCAGGAGAGAGAUUGUGUCUUGCCCAACACAACAGAAAAUGACUCUGCACACUUCAUCUCUCAGUGAAAUAAAACCAUCACUUUUGGGUCAAGCCACAACCUUAUAAUCUCUCCUUGAAAAAUAAUAAUAAAAAAAUGCUAUUAAUUUCUUUUUUUUUUUUUCCA